rnacentral:rRNA from 1 species
AGUCGAGCGGUAGAGAGAAGCUUGCUUCUCUUGAGAGCGGCGGACGGGUGAGUAAUGCCUAGGAAGCUGCCUGGUAGUGGGGGAUAACGCUCGGAAACGGACGCUAAUACCGCAUACGUCCUACGGGAGAAAGCAGGGGACCUUCGGGCCUUGCGCUAUCAGAUGAGCCUAGGUCGGAUUAGCUAGUUGGUGAGGUAAUGGCUCACCAAGGCGACGAUCCGUAACUGGUCUGAGAGGAUGAUCAGUCACACUGGAACUGAGACACGGUCCAGACUCCUACGGGAGGCAGCAGUGGGGAAUAUUGGACAAUGGGCGAAAGCCUGAUCCAGCCAUGCCGCGUGUGUGAAGAAGGUCUUCGGAUUGUAAAGCACUUUAAGUUGGGAGGAAGGGCAUUAACCUAAUACGUUAGUGUUUUGACGUUACCGACAGAAUAAGCACCGGCUAACUCUGUGCCAGCAGCCGCGGUAAUACAGAGGGUGCAAGCGUUAAUCGGAAUUACUGGGCGUAAAGCGCGCGUAGGUGGUUCGUUAAGUUGGAUGUGAAAUCCCCGGGCUCAACCUGGGAACUGCAUUCAAAACUGUCGAGCUAGAGUAUGGUAGAGGGUGGUGGAAUUUCCUGUGUAGCGGUGAAAUGCGUAGAUAUAGGAAGGAACACCAGUGGCGAAGGCGACCACCUGGACUGAUACUGACACUGAGGUGCGAAAGCGUGGGGAGCAAACAGGAUUAGAUACCCUGGUAGUCCACGCCGUAAACGAUGUCAACUAGCCGUUGGGAGCCUUGAGCUCUUAGUGGCGCAGCUAACGCAUUAAGUUGACCGCCUGGGGAGUACGGCCGCAA